AGUAAUGUAUGGGGAUCUGCCUGAUGGCGGGGGAUAACUACUGGAAACGGUAGCUAAUACCGCAUAAUGUCUGCGGACCAAAGCGGGGGACCUUUGGGCCUCUUGCCAUCGGAUGUGCCCAGAUGGGAUUAGCUAGUAGGUGGGGUAACGGCUCACCUAGGCGACGAUCCCUAGCUGGUCUGAGAGGAUGACCAGCCACACUGGAACUGAGACACGGUCCAG
rnacentral:rRNA from 1 species